rnacentral:rRNA from 1 species
GACGAACCACACAAACGUUAUUCGGAAUCACUGGGCUUAAAGGGUGCGUAGGCUGCGCAGCAAGUUGGGUGUGAAAUCCCUCGGCUCAACCGAGGAACUGCGCCCAAAACUGCUGUGCUCGAGGGAGAUAGAGGUGAGCGGAACUUAGGGUGGAGCGGUGAAAUGCGUUGAUAUCCUAAGGAACACCCGUGGCGAAAGCGGCUCACUGGAUCUCUUCUGACGCUGAGGCACGAAAGCUAGGGUAGCGAACGGG